rnacentral:rRNA from 1 species
UACGUAGGGGGCUAGCGUUGUCCGGAAUCAUUGGGCGUAAAGAGCGCGUAGGCGGCCAGAUAAGUCCGGUGUGAAAGUCACAGGCUCAACCUGUGAAUGCCGCUGGAAACUGUCUGGCUAGAGUCCGGGAGGGGCGAGUGGAAUUCCUGGUGUAGCGGUGAAAUGCGCAGAUAUCGGGAGGAACACCUAUGGCGAAGGCAGCUCGCUGGGACGUUACUGACGCUGAGACGCGAAAGCGUGGGGAGCAAACAGG